AUCAUUGUAGCAAAUAAUGCGAUGGGUUUAAGCUCCAUUUAUAGUAAAUCUCUUUGAAG
rnacentral:tRNA from 1 species